GGUAUCGUAGGGAGAUUUCUCCGAAUUCCAAUUGGAAACCCUCGUGAGAGUCCUCCUUUGGCCGGAUCUGGACGCAGUCGCCGCCCCUGUGAGAUCGAAGUCGAGGACGAAAGCGGAGUGCAGGUAAGAAGACGAGGUAGAGGGGGAAGGGAUCCGGACGUUAGGGUUUCGGGCGGAGGGUGCGAACCCUAGACGGGCGUAGCCGCGGUAGCAGUAGAUGAAGGAGGAGACGGCGCCGUGGGGGCGGGCAAUAGACCAUUUUCACCCCAUCCCGAUCGAAGGAGAGGAGGGGGAGAAGCGAGGGUUGCGGGGAAUUAGGGUUAGGGUUAGGGUUAGGGUUAGGGCUAGGAUCGAGGAAGAAGAAGAAGCGUCGGGUCGUGGAGGGAAGAGAUUCCGUGACGCGAGUGGAGAGCGGGGGAGAAUCGCGUUGCUGUUCGAGUGCCGAGCCACGUGGCAGUUGUUCGUUCGCUGGAAACAAGCCGCGGGUCUCGCUCGAAGUUUGGAUUCGGUUUCGGGGAGAGCGAACCCAACCCAAGUUCGGAGGUGAAUCAAAUUGAAUCAAACCGAAUAGAUAAUUGAUUCAGUGCGGUUCACUUGGAUUAAUAUGUAACAAGUUAUUAUUACUUAUUGCUUAUAUAAUAAUACGAGUCUGGUUACUGUACUAUUUAUAGUACCAAUUGCUUGGUGUUAUUGAGUUUUUCGCUAUUAAUUUCUACCUGUUCAAUAAUACUAUUCAACUAACUACCUAUUUAAUCAUAGAAGAUCACUAUUAUUCUAACUGCACAUCUCUUCAUUUAAAGAUUAAAAUCUAAUAUUAUUAAGUGUUUGAUAAUAUCGAUAGUAUGAUAGUCUAAUUCUAUAUAAUAUAUAUUUAUAUCGAAUGGAUUAUCCAAUGAAUUGAGUUAGAUAGAUCGCUUUGAGUCUCUUUGAUUCUGAUUUUAAUUUGAUAACACUCCUCUGUUGUUAACAUUCUGGCAAAAUUUGGUUGAGAACGAGAUUUAUUGCGACGAUGCCAAAUUUAUCUAAAAAUUAUAAUUUUAUUUACAAAUGAUCAAUGCAUAUUUUGUAAUCUUAUGUAUAAAAUUUGUGGAGCCAUUACGCCGCUCAUUAACGACGGAAUAAAUUGAAGCUAGUUUUUUCACUCAUUCGGAGCCGUAGAGAACCGCUCACAAACAAGCAAUACUUUCCAAAAGGUUUUUUUAUUUUUAUUUUUUUUCAAAUUUUCAAGUUAAAAUAUGUUAUUUGAUUCUAUGUAUACGAGCAAUUAUUAUAAUCACAACCUGGCCCGACGUUUUUCCUGGUCCGGGUCCAGGCGCACGAAUCUCCAGCACAGCUUUAAUAUUUGAUUUGAUCAUCAAAAUUAAAAUAUUUGGUUUCCACGUCAUGGUCUAAUAACGUCAAAAUCGUCGACUUUCGCCUCCGCUCCUCUCUCUCUCUCUCUCUCUCUCUACUCCGAUAGUCCGAUCACGAGCCCGAACGAACACACAAGCCCUAAUCCCGUUGAUCCUGUACGCCAUGUUCCUCCGCAGAGAGCUGUGGCGGAGGGGCACCCGAUCGGCGGCGGCGGAGGCGGAGCGCCUCAUCCUCCGCCGUGGCCUCGCCGGCGGCGCGCCGCCGGCGCCGCCGCCCUUCGACCACCAGCCGCGGCCCUACGCGGGGAUCUCCGGCGACGAGAUACUCCGCAAGAGGAAGACCUUUCUCGGACCGUCCCUCUUCUACUACUACCAAAACCCGGUGAUUAGUAGUACUCUCUCUCCCCUGUAGCUUGAGAUUGGAUGCUAGGGUUUUGAAUCCGCCGCUGCAUGGUCGGAUAUAAGUAGUUUAUCCGGAUGAAAGAGUUUGCAUUUCGAGUUAGUUGUGGAGAUUUUAAUUGAUCUGGUUGUGGGGAAACUAUUUGAUCAAAAAAGUUGGGCUUUUCGCUUUUCCUUCGCUUUUCCUUUUUUGGACAAAUGAGAUUUUUAUUAACCUAGGAAAACAGGUGAAACCUGUUACAGCAUAUUACUUAUUUGCUACAGAAGAAUCUCCAGAAGAAAAGGUUGAGUUUUUUAUUACUAGGAGAAGAUUUCCGUGGGAUUGCUUUCGAGUUUCAGCUUCAAUUUUUGUUUUGAGGGGUUAAGACCAACUGAGUAAUCUGAAUCUAGAACUCUGAAUCAUAUGUUGCUUUAUUUGAUUUGUUCAGAAGAUAUCAUCAUAUUUUGUAAGAUUUUUAUUUUUAGCCGUUGAUUUUGAGCCACUUCGAUCACUAGGCAAAUGAUAUCGAAAAAUCACAAAAUUUAUUUUCUAGAUACUUCAAAUACUCUAGAUCAAGUCUAACGGAGCCGAUCGUCGAUUCGAAAGUCCGAACAUCGAAAACAAAGUGGAAGCACGGAGCCCUCCGUACUUCCAUAAGCAUCCUAGCCGCACUCUAUAUAUAUAUAUAUAUAUGUAAAAGAAAAGGAAACGAAUUACUUGGUUCUAAUGCAGGUUAUUGAAAGAUAGAUAUAGAGAGCCUGAUGGACAAGCACACACAAACCUAACUUGAAAUUUGUGAUCUCUUAGCCCAGUAAAAAAUGGAGAGAUGUACACGAAUAGUUGGCAAAAGCUAGACUUGGUAAUUAUCAACAAAAGAGAAAAAAAAAGACUUCAAAAAUCAAAUUUGAAAAUCUCCUUUAAAACUUUGGCUAGUCUACACAAGUUAAAAACUUCUAUAGACAUCCUAGAAAACUUGAAAUAUUACCUUAGAACUGGAGUCAUCUGAAGAAAUUUCUAUGUAUUCCAUUAUUUGUUAAUGAGAUAAUUCUCUCUCUCUUUCUCUCUCUCUCUCUCUCUCUCUCUCUUGUGUCUCUCAACUUAAACUUCCAUCUCUAUGUGUUAGUUUUGCGAUGCCAUAACCAUGAAUUUAAAGAUUCAAAAGAUUAAAAGGCAUUCAUUGUGAAGAUUUGAUUUAAGCCGCACCCUCUCAAUAUGUACUGAAAAUUUUUUGGCACCUUCUUUUUGCGGCUUCAAUAAGUUUCUUACUUUGACACUGUCUUGUUACUACGUAUGAAGCAAAAUAUACUGAUGGUGAAUCCACAACAGCAUAUAUCUUUCUCUCCUUAGACGUACCCUUCGAUGAGUGCCACGUGUUUUAGGCCAUGCUUUCCAGUAAGAUGAUGACGUAAGCAGGCUCCAAAAAAGAAUGCCGAGUGAGAUACACUGAAACGUAAAAAUAUUACUGUAUCGAGAAUUAAAAAGUAGGAAGAAAAUAUUUGACUAUGAUGCGGCAUUUCUCAGUGAAUUCAUUGCUACGGUUUGUCGGUUUAUCCACGUGUCACCUCGUUGCCCGUUUUAGUCGUCUAUCGCAUUCUCCACACGUAAAGCGCACCACUUAGUGCUUAUUAAGGAAGAUAUUAGUAAUAUUCGAUUGAUAAUUAUUAUCAAUUAACUUAUAUUUUUUGUGAUCUUGUUAUCAUCCUUAUUUAAGUAAACAUGACUAUAGUUUGCUUAUGUAAUUUCAUUCUACGUUGAAGCUAGUUCGCAUUGCAAUUACAAGCAAAGUAUUAGCUAUGAUACGCAAUUUAUGCUUCUGUUAUCACAUAUUCUUCACUUCCUCAAUACAUUGUGUCUUAAUACUAUCCCAAGAGUAAGAUGAUACGAUGUUGUCGAUGAAAAUACAAUUUUUUGUUUGUGCUGCAUAAUAUGAUUGGUGGAAAUAAUAAUGCACCUAAAACAAUAUAGAAGUUGUCAUAAGGUGAACAAAAUUGGGAAAAAAAGGUAUCUUAUUUUUAAUAUAUAUAUAUAAUUAUAAAUCACAGUUAAGCCAAGUGGAUCCGUGGCGCAAUGGUAACGCGUCUGACUCCAGAUCAGAAGGUUGCGUGUUCGAUUCACGUCGGGUUCAAAACCCCGAUCCCAAACGGAUCUUUUUUUUUUCCCCUAAUUAUUUUAUUUUCCAUUUAUUUAAUUUUAACUGUAUAUAUACUACGCCAGUAACGCCGCCUUUUAAAUGUGUUGCUUUGAUGAUGCGGAUACUUUUAAGAAUAUAUUUUCAACAUGGUUCUUUUUUAGAUGUUUUUUAGUUUUGAUGAAAGUUGGGAGAAAGUUUUAUUACUAAACAUGAAUUAGAUUCGUUAACAGAUUCUUUUAAAUGUUUGAUUAAUCUCAACUGCUCAUGUUUUCCCAUAAUUUUCCCAACUUAUUUUGUUAGGACAAAUGUUUAGAGCACAAUUUAGCAGAAUCUGUAAAUAUCCAGGUAUACAACCUUGUAAAUUGUAUUCUUUGUAUCUGCCAAAAUUUCAAAAGAACACCAAGAAGCACAGUGGAAUAAUUUAUGAAACACUAAUCGCACUAAGUAACAUGAUCCCCUGUAAAUUUCCAUUUACAAUUUGGACAAGAAAAUAGAAUCGACGUCGAAUAAAACUUCACAUAAAAUUAAAAAAUUCUUCUGACAUUAAAGAGCAGAAACAUAACAUUUUUGGAAUAUUUUCUUUCCAUCGGAACAAAUAUACACCGACGUAAAUAAUAAUAAUACAGAUUUGGGCUCUUCUGUUGAAUUUUCUGAUUUUAAACAUCAACCGAAGAGAAUUUCUAUGUACAAAGAAUAAUUCAACAUUUAGUAAAUAUCUCAGGCAGCUUCGUCGUCGUCGGUGUCGAGCUCAAGUCCUUCUGCGGCUAGAAGUUGAGUAAUGACCUUUUUCUUGUCCUCCUCCGCCUUUUUCCGCAUUAAAUCUCUCUUUUUCAAAACAAGAGUAUGCCUCCUCAAUGUACUGGAGAAGUACUCCAUCGAUGCCUUCUUCUCCUUGGCCAAUAUCCUCUUCUCUUCCUCGGGAUCGAUCUGAAAUAGGAAAAAGAAGUGCAUGAUUUAAAUAAAUUUGAUUUUUUCUUUUUUAAUUCAUGGCACCUCAUAUGUAUGCAUCAAAAUAAAGAUAACAAAAUUAGUGGUUAUAAAAUUUUCAUUAAAAGGAAUAUCAGGACAUCACGACUCUCAGUGCUUGUGGUUCAACUAUGCUCUAAUAAACCACUGAUGCAUCUACGUACUCCAAUAAGACAACAAUCAGGUAAAGUAAUAAAACUACGAAUCAAAGAAGCAUAGUGGACACAAGGCGAAUAGAGCAAGUAAUAUAACACCUUUGAACGAGAGAGGCGGCGAGCACGGAGAUUCAUCUCACGCUGCUGUUGCUCAGCCCAGGCCGCAAUAGCCAUAUCUCCCCGUUGAUCAAAAGCUUUUCGCUUUUUCAUUAACCAUUCCAUCCAUGCCUGAGAAGCCUGAAAUAAACCAAAAAAUAAAUGAGAAAUUAGGUUUUUUACAAAGACAAAAAUUGGGGGAUCAGUUGAAAAAAAAAAAGAAAAACAGAUGAAUGAAUGGCUCUCUGGGAAUAGCUUAAAAAGAGAUGUGGUCUAUGCAGGGCAGUCAAAGAAUCAUAUCUACAUAUGCAAUAGCAAAUAUGAUUACAGAUUUUCACCAAUUUUCCAAUGCUGAUAGGAAUUCGUCAUUACAAGGCUUACAGACGUCGAGGAAUUCACGACAAAAUAUAUAAAUAUGAAACCCAGCUAUGUAAGAUACAAGAAAUUAACAUGUCAAACAAUUACUAUAUUUUAAGAUUAAUUGACAUCAGUAAAAGACCAAGGACAAAAUAAAAAUACCUUCAGUGGAUUGACUCGGUGAUCUCUGUCAUAUUGCCUUCGCUUUUCCACAUCUAUCAAAAGCUCAUAAGCUGCUUGAAUUUUGAUAAAGCGAGCUUCAGCGGUUUCACCUUCCUCUAGAGAUCCCCUACCGUUAUACACUGCAGCAGCAGAACAAUCAGCCAAGCAUUAAACCUAUAGGGGGCAUACACCGAAAUAAGAAGAGUUUAAGUUUCUUAUGUUUUCUUUGAAAAAAGAAAACAGAGACAUCUCAGCGAAGGUAUGAGCUGAUGAGGAGAAAAGAUAUAUACAAUAUUACAGAAGAAUCAAGUUAGAAAUUCAAUUGCUUCCCAGUGCUCGAGCAAAACUUUUCAGUAUGCCAUACGAAGGCAUAUUGCCCUUGAAGAAAUUGAUUAGACAGCAUCAAUGUUUAUAUCGGUCUUACGACUGAGUCUUUCAUAACAAAAUCUCAAGAAGAGGCAGUUGGCCCGAAUAGAAACCUGGAAAAGGAUACUACUAGCCAGAAUACUGCACAUGGAAAUUGUAUCAGACAGCUAUGACAAAUAUGACAUUUCUUUCAUUCAUCCCAGUUACAAAUAAUUCCUCAACGCAAUUAUCAUAUGAAGAUAACUAUUAACUUCGUCAACAGCACGAAGCAGAUCAGUGGCUGAAAGAGUAAAAGAUGAUCUCAGAACUUGAAAACACAAUAUAAUAUGCUUCAAAAGAUAUAAUUAGACCAUUUUCACCCCAUCAUAAGAUGCACCAACAACUUAAUUUACACAAAAAAAAAUUGUUCAGGAACAACAACACAAUAGCGAUUCAAAAUACUUUGAUCCUUUUAAAGAAACUACGAGUUUAAUACUACGCUAGAAAUAGAAAUUAAUGAACAAUCCAAUAUGAAAAAUUCUCCAGAUCUGAAGGAUAGAGAUAGAACAAACCAUCAGGGUGAUAAAACUUGGCCAAUCUCCUGUACGCAGAUUUUAUCUUCUCUUCAUCAGCAUCUCUUUCCAGCUCUACACACGGACAAAAAAAAAACUUACUUUUAGCUUCGAAGCAUUUCAAAGCUCGACAAAAAUCAAAAUUUGAUAUGUUGCCCUGCACUAAUUCGCAUAAUUGAGACUGAUAACACAAAAAUCCAUCACUGCAGAGGAUUACCGAGGGUCUCGUAGGGAGAUUUCUCCGAAUUCCAAUUGGAAACCCUCGUGAGAGUCCUCCUUUGGCCGGAUCUGGACGCAGUCGCCGCCCCCGUGAGAUCGAAGUCGAGGACGAAAGCAGAGUGCAGGUAAGAAGACGAGGUAGAGGGGGAGGGGAUCCGGACGUUAGGGUUUCGGGCGGAGGGUGCGAACCCUAGACGGGCGUAGCCGCGGUAGCAGUAGAUGAAGGAGGAGACGGCGCUGUGGGGGCGGG
rnacentral:lncRNA from 1 species